GAGUAAUACAUCGGAACGUGCCCGAUCGUGGGGGAUAACGCAGCGAAAGCUGUGCUAAUACCGCAUACGAUCUACGGAUGAAAGCAGGGGAUCGCAAGACCUUGCGCGGACGGAGCGGCCGAUGGCAGAUUAGGUAGUUGGUGGGGUAAAGGCUCACCAAGCCGACGAUCUGUAGCUGGUCUGAGAGGACGACCAGCCACACUGGGACUGAGACACGGCCCAGACUCCUACGGGAGGCAGCAGUGGGGAAUUUUGGACAAUGGGCGCAAGCCUGAUCCAGCCAUGCCGCGUGCAGGAUGAAGGCCUUCGGGUUGUAAACUGCUUUUGUACGGAACGAAAAGGUCUUCUCUAAUAAAGAGGGCUCAUGACGGUACCGUAAGAAUAAGCACCGGCUAACUACGUGCCAGCAGCCGCGGUAAUACGUAGGGUGCAAGCGUUAAUCGGAAUUACUGGGCGUAAAGCGUGCGCAGGCGGUGAUGUAAGACAGAUGUGAAAUCCCCGGGCUCAACCUGGGAACUGCAUUUGUGACUGCAUCGCUGGAGUGCGGCAGAGGGGGAUGGAAUUCCGCGUGUAGCAGUGAAAUGCGUAGAUAUGCGGAGGAACACCGAUGGCGAAGGCAAUCCCCUGGGCCUGCACUGACGCUCAUGCACGAAAGCGUGGGGAGCAAACAGGAUUAGAUACCCUGGUAGUCCACGCCCUAAACGAUGUCAACUGGUUGUUGGGUCUUCACUGACUCAGUAACGAAGCUAACGCGUGAAGUGA
rnacentral:rRNA from 1 species